CUACGCAUCUACCGGAAGCGUAUAGUUUCACGCCGUACCAGGGGAUCGGUAUUGGGGCUUCACGGGUGCGUAACGGGUGGGAAUCUACCCUUGGGUACGGAAUAACUCAGAGAAAUUUGUGCUAAUACCGUAUAAUGACUUCGGUCCAAAGAUUUAUCGCCCAAGGAUGAGCCCGCGUAAGAUUAGCUAGUUGGUGGGGUAAAAGCCUACCAAGGCGACGAUCUUUAGCUGGUCUGAGAGGAUGAUCAGCCACACUGGGACUGAGACACGGCCCAGACUCCUACGGGAGGCAGCAGUGGGGAAUAUUGGACAAUGGGCGAAAGCCUGAUCCAGCAAUGCCGCGUGAGUGAUGAAGGCCCUAGGGUUGUAAAGCUCUUUUACCCGGGAUGAUAAUGACAGUACCGGGAGAAUAAGCUCCGGCUAACUCCGUGCCAGCAGCCGCGGUAAUACGGAGGGAGCUAGCGUUGUUCGGAAUUACUGGGCGUAAAGCGCGCGUAGGCGGUUUUCCAAGUCAGGGGUGAAAGCCCGGGGCUCAACCCCGGAAUAGCCCUUGAAACUGGAAGACUAGAAUCUUGGAGAGGUCAGUGGAAUUCCGAGUGUAGAGGUGAAAUUCGUAGAUAUUCGGAAGAACACCAGUGGCGAAGGCGACUGACUGGACAAGUAUUGACGCUGAGGUGCGAAAGCGUGGGGA
rnacentral:rRNA from 1 species